rnacentral:rRNA from 1 species
CUGGGCGCUGGCUUGUUUGGCUACAUAGAUCAAACCAUAGAGGAGCCUCCCAAAACAAUCACUAGCAAAGACAAAGAUGGUAAGGAGCAGGUAGUUCCCAAUCCUGCCCAUAAUCCCUGGUUAGUUCGAGAUCAGCAAAUCGUGGCAUAUCUCCUUCGUAAUCUGUCCAAGGAGGUGCUGGUUCAAGUGGCUUCGCUUGAAUCAUCUCAUGCGAUCUGGAUGGCAUUAGCAAAUAUGUUCUCUGCAGUUUCUUUGUCCCGCGUGAACAACAUCAGAUCUGCCCUCACCAACGCCCAGAAAGGAUCUCAAUCCGCCUCCACCUACUUCGGGCAGAUGCGUGCCCUCUCUGACGAGCUUGCGGCGGCGGGCAAGCCGCUCGGGGAGGGAGAGCUCAUCUCCUUCAUCAUCGUCGGGCUUGACAUGGAGUAUCAACCGAUCAUCUCUGCACUCGACGUCCGCACCGAGCCCAUCACCGUCGACGCGCUCUUCUCUAUGGUAGCCAACUUCGAUCAGCGCAUUGAGAUGUUCAACGGCGCCGGUGGCUUCAAGUCAUCGGCCAACGCAGCCUCCAGAGGUCGCUCGGGCGGUGGCAAAGGCGGCUACCGAAACCAGAAG